GACGUAGGGCGCGAGCGUUGUCCGGAUUUAUUGGGCGUAAAGAGCUCGUAGGCGGCUUGUCGCGUCGACUGUGAAAACCCGCGGCUCAACCGCGGGCCUGCAGCCGAUACGGGCAGGCUAGAGUUCGGUAGGGGAGACUGGAAUUCCUGGUGUAGCGGUGAAAUGCGUAGAUAUCGGGAGGAACACCAGUGGCGAAGGCGACUUCCUGGCCUGUUCUUGACGCUGAGGCGCGAAAGCUAGGGGAGCAAACGGG
rnacentral:rRNA from 1 species